rnacentral:rRNA from 1 species
UACGUACAAGCAGUGGGAGCACAGGUUUACCUGUGUGACUGCGUACCUUUUGUAUAAUGGGUCAGCGACUUAUAUUCUGUAGCAAGGUUAACCGUAUAGGGGAGCCGGAGGGAAACCGAGUCUUAAUUGGGCGUUAAGUUGCAGGGUAUAGACCCGAAACCCGGUGAUCUAGCCAUGGGCAGGUUGAAGGUUGGGUAACACUAACUGGAGGACCGAACCGACUAAUGUUGAAAAAUUAGCGGAUGACCUGUGGCUGGGGGUGAAAGGCCAAUCAAACCGGGAGAUAGCUGGUUCUCCCCGAAAGCUAUUUAGGUAGCGCCUCGUGAAUUCAUCUCCGGGGGUAGAGCACUGUUUCGGCUAGGGGGCCAUCCCGGCUUACCAACCCGAUGCAAACUGCGAAUACCGGAGAAUGUUAUCACGGGAGACACACGGCGGGUGCUAACGUCCGUCGUGAAGAGGGAAACAACCCAGACCGCCAGCUAAGGUCCCAAAGUCAUGGUUAAGUGGGAAACGAUGUGGGAAGGCCCAGACAGCCAGGAUGUUGGCUUAGAAGCAGCCAUCAUUUAAAGAAAGCGUAAUAGCUCACUGGUCGAGUCGGCCUGCGCGGAAGAUGUAACGGGGCUAAACCAU